UACGUAGGGACCAAGCGUUGUUCGGAUUUACUGGGCGUAAAGGGCGCGUAGGCGGCAAUUCAAGUCAUCUGUGAAAUCUCCGGGCUUAACUCGGAACGGUCAGAUGAUACUGCUUUGCUAGAGUGCGGAAGGGGCAAUCGGAAUUCUUGGUGUAGCGGUGAAAUGCGUAGAUAUCAGGAGGAAUACCGAUGGCGAAGGCAGGUCUCUGGGCUGACACUGACGCUCAUGCACGAAAGCGUGGGGAGCGAAACAGG
rnacentral:rRNA from 1 species